AUUGAACGCUGGCGGCAUGCCUUACACAUGCAAGUCGAACGGUAACAGGUCUUCGGAUGCUGACGAGUGGCGAACGGGUGAGUAAUACAUCGGAACGUGCCUAGUAGUGGGGGAUAACUACUCGAAAGAGUGGCUAAUACCGCAUGAGAUCUAGGGAUGAAAGCAGGGGAUCGCAAGACCUUGUGCUACUAGAGCGGCCGAUGGCAGAUUAGGUAGUUGGUGGGAUAAAAGCUUACCAAGCCGACGAUCUGUAGCUGGUCUGAGAGGACGAUCAGCCACACUGGGACUGGGACACGGCCCAGACUCCUACGGGAGGCAGCAGUGGGGAAUUUUGGACAAUGGGCGAAAGCCUGAUCCAGCAAUGCCGCGUGCAGGAUGAAGGCCUUCGGGUUGUAAACUGCUUUUGUACGGAACGAAAAGCUCUGGGUUAAUACCCUGGGGUCAUGACGGUACCGUAAGAAUAAGCACCGGCUAACUACGUGCCAGCCGCCGCGGUAAGAC
rnacentral:rRNA from 1 species